CCUACGGGUGGCAGCAGUGAGGAAUAUUGGUCAAUGGCCGGAAGCCUGAACCAGCCAAGCCGCGUGCGGGAUGAAGGCCCUGCGGGUCGCAAACCUCUUUUGCCGGGGGAUAACACCCCGCACUCGUCCAGUCCUGCAGGUACCCUGCGAAUAAGCAUCGGCUAAUUCCGUGCCAGCAGCCGCGGUAAUACGGAGGGUCCGAGCGUUAUCCGGAUUCAUUGGGUUUAAAGGGUGCGCAGGCGGGCCUUUAAGUCGGCUGUAAAAUCGCGGGGCUCAACCCCGCCGAGCAGUUGAAACUGGGGGCCUUGAGUGCGGAAGAGGCAGGCGGAAUUCGAGGUGUAGCGGUGAAAUGCAUAGAUAUCGCGCAGAACCCCGAUUGCGAAGGCAGCCUGCCGUGCUGCGACUGACGCUGAGGCACGAAGGCGCGGGGAUCGAACAGGAUUAGAUACCCGUGUAGUC
rnacentral:rRNA from 1 species